UUCUGUCUCUCACAGUUGAAGUGUACCUAUGAUAAAAAUGACAGACCUCUACAUGCUUUGUAAGUAGGAAACACUGCCGAUUUUGCAGGUUUUCAAAUACAUGUUCUCCCCACUGUAUAUAAUGCAUUGAACUGCCUCCAUCUAUUCUGCCAGAAUGCCUUAGUGUAUGUCCAGGUUGUAUCACAUCCGGCUGUUAUUGGGAGUCCCAUAGGGCCGUGCACAGUUGGCCCAGCGUCGUCUGGGUUUGGCCGGGGUAGGCAAUCAUUGUAAUUAAUACUUUUUCCUUUACUGACUUGCCUAGUUAGAUAAAGGUUAAAUAAAAACUGUAAAUGCAUGUCAUGGAAUGUUGAGUGAAGUAGAACCUAUUUUUAAAACCUCUUUCAAAGUUGGUUUUGCAGCAUAAACUGGGAAUUUGAUAGUUUUGAUAUUAUGAUUGUCUGUUUCAUAUCUGCAAGCAGUUACACAUUAAACUUUAGGUCACCAGUUACUUUGUGUGCGAAACGUGAAAUGCUUUUUUUGCAAUGGGAAGUAAUAGUUGUACAUUUAGAUUUAAAUGCUUAAUGGUUGUGUUUUUGUAUUCUUAUGAUUGGAACCUACUGGCUUAUUAUGUCUGAGUUCAUGGACUGCUUUACCUUUAACAUGCUGUGUGAAUGCCGUCUUUCCACUGGCCCUAUGUAGUGGCGCCUGAAGAAGCGGGUACACUCAAAUUUUGACAAAAUAAUUCCCCAAAAAGAAAAAGAUUAUUCAGCUAAAGAUCCUAAAAUCUCAUAAGAAAUUACUGAACUUUUAUGUAACAGUAAUGUUAUACUAUGCUAUUAUAUUUGGUUCUGUUAUGUAGAAUACUAAUGAAUCAUUAUGUGAUCUUCCAAGACAUUCAUUCAUCUAACUUGACUACAUGUGCACUAUUGUGAGAAGUAGUAGAGUGAAGCUCAAGUGCCUCUGGCAGCACUACACCCCUGCUCCCGCAGCACUGAACAAAUCAUUUUUGCCUUGUGCAAAAUUUGGUGAUGCAGAAACGAGAGACCACGUGUGCCCCUGUUUUAUGAAAAUCUGGGACUAUUUUGCCAAAGGAAAUUAUUCUGGUUUGUCUCAUUGAAUGUAAAACAGGAAGGGAGGCUUUUAAAAUGGGGUUGAUUGAAGUAGCAGCAAAUACGUUGAUUGAACAACUAAUGGUCAUAUUUGGCAAAAUUACCUUACAUCUUUCAGUCUAAUAUGGCAAAGUGUUUAACAAAUACCAGUAACCCAUCCUUACUAUACACUACAUAUACAAAAGUAUGUGGACACCCCUUCAAAUUAGUGUAUUUGGCACAGGUGUAUAAAACUGAGCACACUGCCAUGCAGUCUCCAUAGACAAAAAUUGACCUUACAGAAGAACUCAGUGAAUUUCAACGUGGCACUGUCAUAGGAUGGGUGAGGAUCCAAGGCUCCGAUCAGUGUAGCAAUGACUGACGAUAGCCAGACCCCCUUUCACCCACAGAAGAGGGGAGGGGGCUGGGACAGUUUUGACACUUUAACACUCUGUCAUAAAUUAGGCAGGAGGUGUAUCUCCGUUUUACUCUUCAGUAUUACUAAAGUGAAUAUUGGAGCAAUAUUUCUAAGAUAUGAAUGUCAUGAAUGGUCAGUGGGGAUCUAAAGAACAAUCGUGUCACAUUGUUUGUUUAUUAUUUUGUGAUGACAUUAAAACCUGUUAAGGAUGCUGCGAAUUUUCACAGUUUUUUUGUUAAAAAUCGCGCAACAUUUCAACGUCCUGCUAGUCAUGCCAGGAAUAUAGUAUAUGCAUAUGAUUAGUAUGUGUGGAUAGAAAACACUCUGAAGUUUCUAAAACUGGUUAAAUGAUGUCUGUGACUAUAACAGAACGUGUUUCAGACUCAAAAUCCCAAGGAAACCUGAUCACAAAAUCGACAAAGAAAAAAUCAAUCCGCCAGUCUCUGUAUUGUCUAUUGCAAGGUAUAAUAGAUAGCGAUGGGCUUACAAUUCCUACAGCUUCCACACGAUGUCGCCAGUGUUGUGAAUUCUAUGCAGCUAAAUCCUUGGUCAUAUGAGUAAUAAGCACAUCCUGUCAUGAAGUCUCCCAGAGGAAGUGAUGAAAGGGGCAAACUGGGACACGAUUUCCAAACUUGCAGUUAUUGAAUACAGAUCUCUCCGUGAUCAAUUUGAUCGUUUAUUGACGUUUACUAAUACCUAAAGUUGGAUUACAAAAGUAGUUUGAAGUUUUUUGUCAAAGUUUAUAGGCAACUUUUUUAAUAAAAAAAAAUGACGUUGCGUUGGGAAAUGGGAGUUUUUUCCUGGAUUUCACGGUGUUCAUAAAUGGACAUUUUGGGUAUAUAUGGACCGAUUUAAUCGAAAAAAAGACCCAAUUGUGAUGUUUAUGGGACAUAUAGGAGUGCCAACAAAGAAGCUCGUCAAAGGUAAUGAAUGUUUUAUAUUUUAUUUUUGCGUUUUGUGUAGCGCCGGCUACGUUAAUUUCUUUGUUUACGUCCCCUUCGUGUGUUUCUGGGGGCUGCAUGCUAUCAGAUAAUAGCUUCUCAUGCUUUCGCCGAAAAGCAUUUUACAAAUCUGACAUGUUGGCUAGAUUCACAACGAGUGUAGCUUUAAUUGAGUACAUGGCAUGUGUGUUUUAAUGAAAGUUUGAGUUGUAUGGGGUACUAUUAGAUGGCACUCUGGAAUUUUGCUGAUUUUGAUGCCUGUACAGGUAUCGCAGCCGUAACAGGUUUUAAGAAUGGUAACAAGAAAAUACUGUAACUUGGAAAGUGUACUGAUUUCUCUGUCAUGUAUAAAAUAUAUGAUUCUAGAUUAUGGUAUUUUUGUUAAGAUAUUAAUGUGAUUUUAGUUUUGUAAUGAGAAUUGUUUUUCAUUUAAACUAUGCACAGUGACUAGACAUGCACCAAAUAAGGUCAGAGAGCUUGUCAGCGUGAUGGAACCACUUUUUCAACCAGAAUGUUUAAAAGGACUGGCUAAUAAUUAACAUAGCAUACCAGAAGACGUGAAACCGGUGUCCACACGUUGAAACACUCAACCGUGCUCGAUGAGAAGAUAACCUCACCUACGAGACCAGAAAAGCGUGGAGUGAUCGCUACAUGUUGUAAAUGGUUAAAACUUGGAACCUCGACAUGAGGUGAAGAUAGCCUCGCUUUGAAGCAUGUAAAGUGCUUCAAACUCUGACUAAAGACACGAGGUGGGAAGGAGAAAAUCCCAUCUCAGACAAUCAUUGGUGCAUCUGAAAAUCUGCUUUGAAAACAGCCUAUACAAGCCAGAACAACUAAGAAGGACAUUGUCGACCCCUUCCCCAUAGAAGGAUUUAUUGGUUUCAACAAAGAUAGACGACGGACAAAGACAUCCACACGUAAAUCCAUUAAUUACUUCUUAGCCCAAAAUGGGCGAUGGUUUGUGUGCAAGGUAUAUGAUUAAUGUCCUAUAAUGUAUCCAUGAUAAGUGUUAUUUUCCUCUCUAUCCCCUCCCCUCCAUUUAUGUUGUAACAAGCCAUCAUAUCUUGUCAGUCCACUAGGGACUUUUGUCUCUGAUAUGAGGUAAUGAUUAAUAAGUGACUGUUAUCGAUAUAUAACUGUUAUCAAUAUAUAGUUAGUUAAUUGUUACAUGAUUCAUUUAAUUGGGUAACAAUUUAACAGUUAUUGGAUUGAAUAAAUAAGAUUAAUGAAAAUCACGUCACGACAGUGUUGCAUUGAAAGUGGCUAAUAUUGCGCUGAUUCGAUCACAAUUGCCAGAGUAAAGGGAAACGUUGAUAGUGUUAACCGGAAAAGCUCUAGAACAGUGGUCACCAACCUUUUCUGAGUCAAGAUCACUUUGAGUCAAAAUGCAAGCUGAGAUCUACAUAAGCCUAUGCAACAUUAACCAGCUGUACUGGAGCAAUGAGGUUUGUGCAGUAAGAUAUAGGCCCAAUACAUUAUCACUGCAUAUUGGCUUUGUUUGAAUUGACCUGCCAAUGCAUUGUUGUUCAGGCCAUUUAAAAAUAUAUAUAUUUCAGCAUUUGAGGUAGGCAAUAUGAUCACACUGGUAAUAGACCCGUUGUGGUAUUACUCGUGAAGCACAGUUGAGUGUGCAUACAUUUAAAAUUAUUUGCUUUUUAUUUUACUCUGCUGAUGGUGCCUGCAUCUGAUGGUCAGUCUCACUCUGUCAUGAUAGUGUUCUAAUUCCCUAUUUAUAUGGUCAGGCCACCGUCUGUCUCUUAUUUUGUGUCCCCUGACCAGUAUUCAUGGAUACAGCUCUCAGAUGAUAAACAUAUGGUCCUUGCUAUUCGCCUCUUUUGGACAUCCCUAUCCAGUUUAAUUUUGACAUUUAAAAUGGUUAAGGUUAGGUAUUUAAUUUGGUUAUGUGUAAGGUUAGGGUGGAUAAGGGUUAAGGUUAGGGUUAUGCUUUAGAAUAGGGAUGUCCCAAGGUCCAGCAAAUUACAUUCGGACAGUCAUGGUGUGCAGUGGCGUGUGAAAGUAUUCACCCCUCUUGGCAUUUUGUUGCCUUACAACCUGGAAUGAAAAUAGAUUUGGGGGGGGUUGGGUUGUAUCAUUUGAUUUACACAACAUGCCUACCACUUUAAAGAUGCAAAGAAAUAAGACAAAAAACUGAAAAAUAUUCACCCCCGUAAAGUGAAUACUUUGUAGAGCCACCUUUUUCAGCAAUUACAUCUGCAAGUCUCUUGGGGUAUGUGUCUAUAAGCUUGGCACAUCUAGCCACUGGGGUUCCACCUCCUUCAAGUUGGAUGGGUUCCGUUGGUGUACAGAUUCUCAAUUGGUUUGAGGUCUGGGCUUUGACUAGGCCAUUCCAAGACAUUUAAAUGUUUCCCCUUAAACCACUUGAGUGUUGCUUUAGCAGUAAGCUUAGAAAAUGAAUUGUCCUGAUGGAAGGUGAACCUCCAUCCCGUCUCAAAUCUCUGGAAGACUGAAACCGGUUUCUCUCAAGAAUUUCCCUGUAUUUAGCACCAUCCAUCAUUCCUUCAAUUCUGACCAGUUUCAAGGCCCUGCCGAUGAAAAACAUGGUGGCAGCAUGAUGCUUCACUGUGGGGAUGGUGUUAUCGGGGUGAUGAGAGGUGAUGGGUUUGAGUCAGACAUAGCCAAAAAGCUCAAUUUUAGUCUCAUCUGACCAGAGUACAUUCUUCCAUAUGUUUGGGGAGUCUCCCACAUGCCUUUUGGCAAACACCGAACGUGUUUUCUUAUUUUUUCUUUAAGCUAUGGCUUUUUUUCUGGCCACUCUUCCGUAAAGCCCAGCUCUGCGGAGUGUAUGGCUUAAAGUGGUCCUAUGGACAGAUACUCCAAUAUCCACUGUGGAGCUUUGCAGCUCCUUCAGGGUUAUCUUUGGUCUCUUUGUUGCCUCUCUGAUUAAUACCCUACUUGCAUGGGUAUUAAUCAGAGUUUUGGUGGACGGCCCUCUCUUGGCAGGUUUGUUGUGGUGCCAUAUUCUUUCCAUUUUUUAAUAAUGGAUGUAAUGGUGCUCUGUGGGAUGUUCAAAGUUUCAGAUAUUUUUUUAUAACCCAACCCUGAUCUGUACUUCUCCACAACUUUUUCCCUGACCUGUUUGGAGAGCUCCUUGGUCGUCAUGGUGCCACUUGCUUGGUGGUGCCCCUUGCUUAAUGGUGUUGCAGACUCUGUUGCCUUUCAGAACAGGUGUAUAUAUACUGAGAUCAUGUGACACUUAGAUUGCACACAGGUAGACUUUAUUUAACUAAUUCUGUGACUUCUGAAGGUAAUUGGUUGCACCAGAUCUUAUUUAGGGGCUUCAAAGCAAAGGGGGUGAAUACAUGUGCACGCACCUAUGGAACGCCCUUUGGGUCUUUGCGUGCCAAAAAGAUACAUGUCAAAUAACACUAUUUGACGCGUCAAAUAACUAUGUAAACUAUAUGCAAAUGUUGGCCAGUCACUAUAUGAAAAACUUCUCAUUCAUCAUCACCAACAAACCUUGAAAACAUGAGACCGCUUUUUACGUUUUGCCAGCCAAGUGCAACCACCUUUACAACCACCCCAGGAGGAUCUGGUGGUUCAAAUGUAGGAUUAAUUUUGCUAGGUUAGGUAAUACCUGGCAAAAGUCAACAUUAACCGGCACAUCUACCUAGUAAUGUUAGCUAGCUAAUGAUUGCAACAGCUACCGUGGUGUGCGCGAGUAUGGGCGGCAUCGAUUAUGCUGAGUGUCAUUAUUGUAACUUUUAUAACGUUUGCACAUGUCAGAUUUCAAUCGUUCAGGAGACAGAAUAAUGCUGGAGUCCAAAGGAGGCAAACCGGGAGAGGCAGGCUGAUAACUAUGAGGGUUUGCCUCAUCGCUGAUCCUACCAUCCAGCAGCUGAACAGGAUAGGUACAUUUUCCCUAUAUCCAUGUAAUACAUGAGGACACAUUGCGAUGCACAGUGCUUGCUUUGUAAGUAAGCUAGGUGUGAAUCUAUCUUGUGAUUAAACAGACUUAUUGAAGGUUAUUUUACUGAUGUAAAGAUCAUGGACUGUUUCCCUGUUUUAUAUUAGGAUACUUUUUAUAAUAUUUAAAUCAUGUUUCCAUACCUCAGUAUCUUUAGAGUAUCCUGUCUGGCAGAUCAAAGUGCCCUAUGGUCAGGAGGAGAGCAGGUUUUUGGGGGGACAACAUUCCCCCAGAUGAAUACAAAUUUAGAGGCCUUUAAGACUGGAGGAGGAGGCUCGUUCCCCUACAAAAAAAAGGAUUGUGUGGUUGAAUUGGUGGCUCAACAAUUUGUCCAAGGUGGUCUUGGAGCAGUAAGUCAACUUUUUCAGAAAUUUGUGAAGUACUUGUCAUUACCUUUUUAAUCAAUCCACCCCCCUCUAAAUCAAUACACAUCACUAUAUUGUCAUUAACACUUAUUUUAAAUAUACAUACUGUCUCUAAACCAUAACAGGUUGAAAUAUGGUCUCAACUCUCUUGGGCUGCUCGAGGCAUUGGGGAACCAUCCGGACAGCUUCCGAGCGCUCCAUAAAGCCUCCCACUGCCAGGGACCUGUGGGACCUGCUUAAAGUAACCUAUUCCAUACCUGGCGGCAACCGGCCAUGUUUGGAGAACGACACCAUCUGCCACAGAGAAUGUCCUCUAACAGUGGCGAUGGUGUUGAAGUUUGCUACUGGGGCAACGGGGGUGACACCCCUUGGGUUUGAGGACACCCCGACCAUCGAAUUCCUCCACACAGCGCGAGGGCGUCUCGCCAGGCAGCAGAAUAAAAAGUACCCUUAGGCAAACAUGUGUGCUGUGACACUAAGGCUCCCUCUUCAUAGCACCUAUAUUGCCUUUAGGGAAUUCCUGACCUCCGAUAUUGUGAAUUCCCCACAUUUUGGUGUUGCAUAAAAACAUUUUUACGAUACAAUUGUAUCUUGUAGCACUAAACUACAGUAGCAAUUGAGUGUUUGAAAAUGUAACUGCACAUCAACAUUUAAGCAUUUAUCUACUUACAUCUGUAUUGUUUGUACAGUGCAUUCGGAAUGUAUUCAGACCCCUUGACUUUUUCCACAUUUUAUUAUGCUACAGCCUUAUUCAGAAAUGGAUACAAUAAUUUUUUACCGUCAUCAAUUCACACACAAUAUCCCAUAAUGACCAAGCAAAAACAGGUUGACAUUUUUGCAAAUGUAUAAAAAAAGGAAAUAUGACAUUAAUGACCCUUUACUCAGUACUUUGCUGAAGCACCUUUGUCAGCGAUUACACCAUAGGCUCUUCUUGGGUAUGACACUACAUUUUUUAUUAUUUAAUAGAUUUUAGAAUAAGACUCUAAUGUAACAAAAUGUGGAAAAAGUCAAGGGGUCUGAAUACUUUCCAAAUACACUGAAUUUCCAUAUUGGCUGUUAUUGUUCACUUUAUGAUCAUUAAAAUUAAAUUAUACAAUC